rnacentral:rRNA from 1 species
UACGAAGGGGGCUAGCGUUGCUCGGAAUCACUGGGCGUAAAGCGCACGUAGGCGGAUCGCUAAGUCAGGGGUGAAAUCCUGGAGCUCAACUCCAGAACUGCCCUUGAUACUGGCGAUCUCGAGUCCGGGGAGAGGUGAGUGGAACUGCGAGUGUAGAGGUGAAAAUUCGUAGAUAUUCGCCAAGAACACCAGUGGCGAAGGCGGCUCACUGGCCCGGUACUGACGCUGAGGUGCGAAAGCGUGGGGAGCAAACAGG